CAUAGGCCAAGCUCCAAACCAUGCUCCAAUGAUAGCUCCAUAGGCCGGAACAGUGAUCAUAUAAUCUCUGUUUGAAGUUGGCCUGAAGAUUAUGGGAUCAACCAUAAAUGAGUGGAAAAGAAGAAUUCAUGCGGCUGACUCCAAAUAAAAUUGGCAUUAAGGCGAUGUUGUUGUCGUUGUGGUGGUGGUGGUGGUGGUGGGAUCAACCAUAAAGAAGCCACUUUUCAUCUUAUCUUAGUACAUAAC